CAGAUCACUCAUCGCCCGCUGCAACUCCAUCAACAGAAUCCUCACUCACAACUUUGAGCUCUUUAUAUCGUUUCCUGCCCACCCCGCCGCUCCGCCACAUGUCUGUUAGUGCUGCUAGUCUCGUCGUUGCUUCAUGCACACCUUUUCUCUGCUUGCUUUCGCCACGACGCAUCCGCUGUAGCUUACACUCCAAGUAGCGGCCAUACAUCCCUUUGCCACCCUAGCUCAUCGUACUCCCUCUUACGGAGUGAGGGAGAGCGUGCAGAAGCCGAGGAAGCCCACGCAUGCACGCACGCACGCAUACAGCAUCAUGCACCGCCACGUCUUUCGUCGCAGCACCGCAUUGCUGCAAAUGGGCAACCCGAGCAUGGGCGGAAUGCCGGGGAUGCCACCAGGGAUGGGGGCUCCCGGUGCCAACAGCUCGGUCGGGCCGUCGUCCGGCUUGCCGAACCGACCGGGAAAGACGGUGAGCUACCAGAACGCAAUCAAGAUGGAAGCGGAGAGGCGCCGCAAGCUCGAGGAGGACACGCGUAGCCGCUACUAUGUCGUCAAGGAGGACACCCGGGAGAAGCGGGGUAGCGGGCGGGUGAUCGGUAUCGACCUCGGAACCACAAACAGCUGUAUUUGCUACAUUGACGCCGCGACGAGACGGCCGAAGAUCAUCCCGUCGCCAACGGGGUCGUGGGUGUACCCGACGGCCAUCACCUUCGACAAGAAUCACCAGAUUCGCAUGUUCGGCGAGGAGGCACGCGCGUGUGCGCGCACGAGCGCCAGCGCGACACUCUGCAGUGGCAAGCGGCUCAUCGGCCGCGGCUUUGGCGAGCUUGGUCGCGUGCAAUCGAACUUGUCCAAGACAAACAUUUUAACGGUGAACGAGAAGGGCGAGGUGGCGGUGGAGAUCAUGGGGCGCACGUACACAGUUGUGCACAUCAUUGCCAUGUUCCUGCGCUACCUGAAGAGCGAAGCCGAGAAGUUCUUGGGCGAGGAAGUGCAGCAGGCCGUGGUGAGCGUGCCGGCGUACUUCACACCGCAGCAGAAGGUGGCCACCGAAGACGCGGCGCUCUGUGCGGGCUUUGACGUGCUGGAGAUCAUUGACGAGCCGUCGGCAGCGUGCCUGGCGUACACGGUGCUGGAAAGGCUCAAGCGCGAGGAGAGGGAUGCGCAGCAACGUGCGGCGGCCAGCCCACCUGUAUCUGCCACCGCUACCGCUGCCUCCGCAGCGCAAAGUAGCAGUAGCGGCGGCAACUCCGAGGCGGUGGCGGGCGCGUCCUCGUCCUCUACUCCUGAAGCGGAUGCAUACGGCAACAAGCGUUACGUGCGCUCUCUCGUCUUUGACCUCGGUGGCGGUACACUCGACUGUGCGAUCAUGGAGCACGACCGCUACCGGCAAAUGUUCAACCUCGUCGCCACGCACGGAGACCCCAUGCUGGGGGGCAACGACUGGGACACGGUUCUCUCCCAGCACUUCGCCAAGCAGUUUGAGAGCAAGUGGCGCGUGCCGAUCGAAGAAGAAGAGGGAAACGUCGGCCAAGGCGUCGCGGCCUUCCGAAACUUGAUCCUGGAGGCGGAGAAGGCGAAGAUACACUUCACCCACUCCACCGAGACCUACUACGGCUACAACCGCGCCUUCCACUUUUCCGACAAGCUGCGCGACAUUGUGCCGCUGGAGGCGACGCUCACGCACGAGGAGUACGUCACCCUCACCCGCCCACUGCGCGCCCGCUGCCUACAGUGCAUCGAGAGGCUGUUCGAGCACACCGGCUACGCCGCUGCGGACAUCGACAACAUCCUGCUGGUCGGCGCCAUGACCCGUGACCCGCCCAUCCGCCACCUGCUCGAGGAGUACUUCGGGAAAAAGGUGGUGCGGGAGGACACGUGCCCGGCUGACUACGCCGUCGCGCUCGGCGCCGGCAUCCGCGGUGGGAUGCUGCAGGGCAGCUUUCCGGAGCUCACAGCUAGCACCCGCUUCGUCAGUGGCACGGUGCAGUCACUGCGCGAGGGCGGCGGCAUCGUCCGCCGGCUGUGGCGCUAUCUCAAGCUCAUGACGAGCACCGUGAACCCUAAUGCGAUUGGCACGCGAUGGCGCGGUCGUGCCAAGGGGCUCUCUGACGAGGAGAUCGCGAACUACGCGAAGGAGCUGGUGGAGUUCGAGGCCACGUGCGCACGUCGACUGCUGCUCGAGCGGGCCGAGAGCGAAGCGAACUUCGUCAUGCGCCGUGUCACAGCCGACUCAAAUCGCAAGCAGGGCAUGCAGGAAAAGCGGAUUAUGCAGCUCAGUGAGCAACUGAAGUUCUGGCAGUACAUGGUGCACAACUUUCACGACCACGAGGAGGAGCUGCUGCGUGUUGUGAAGGAGCUGCAGGAGGCACUGGACGAGCUGGAUGGACUCGCGACGGACAACGUGGCAGGCCUGACGAAGGCAGGCACCAUUGACUUCUCCAAGACACUUGCGCGGACGCUGCGCGCCGUGUCGGGUACCGUUGCGGAGACGGAGGAUGGCAAUGAUACCAGCGACGACUGCACGGAACACGCCGCGACAAACGCAGCGGAGAAGCCAUCGUGUAUCAGAGAGACAGAGACACAAGCGGGUGGCGCGGUGCCGAACACAGCGGCAGGACCCAAGAUUCUGCGCCGCCGUGCCCCCCUGCCAGCAGCCGCCAGCGCCGCCCAGGAGCUUGUCGAAGCGGGGCACCCCGCGCUGAUGAACGCGGAUAUCGAUGUGGCCGAGUCUGCCCGCAAUUCGUUCCUGCAGGCGCAGGUCGAGGAGCGGGCGUGGCAUGAGCCGCCUGCGCCCCCAGGUGAGCAGGGCUCGUGGACGGAGGUGAAGGCCGCCGUCGACGCGGGCGAAGUUGUGGGCGAGCCAGUGCCGUUGAGGGACCUGCUCCGGCCCAUGACAAUGAUGGAGAUGAAAUUGGCCCUGCAGACGCACUACCCUGUAGACGAUCCGCCGUCUGCCGAGCACAUUGCGAAGAGAGACCUGGCGGUUGAUCUGCAGACCAUGACCAUCACGGAGGGAGCGGUGGACAUGGUACAGCUGCAGGCCGACCUGGACGCCGCGGAGCAGAAGGCGGUGGAGCAGGCGAAGGAAGAGGAGAGGAUGGUGCAGGAGCGACAGAAGGAGAUGUCGGCUCGCCUGUUUCGUUGAAGGGAGAGAGGGGGAGCACAGGCGGGGCCGAUGCGCUCUGAAAGAUGUCUUAGGGGGACUGCUAUGGGCGAGUCGGAGAAAGGCGCACCCACCCACCCACACGUGCACACCUCCCUGUCUCUCGGUGUGUGCGCCUCCAUUUCUUUUUGUCCCUCGCUCCCUCUGCGUGCCCCAGUCAGCUGCUCACCGUGUCGCAGGCGGCGAAGGACGCGCAAAGUGAACAACGGCGUCGGUCCCGUGGUAGACGCCGAUGCGGAGUGCGGGGCGGGCGGCGUGGGAUCGACUGCCGCGCAUGUGAGCGUGCAUGCGGUGUUGCUGUGAGGACGGAAAAACAAAAGGCUUUUUUUUUGCGCACGAGGGGAGACCCACCUCCUCUCCUCUCCUCUUCCCUCCCCACACCGCUUGCGAGUUGUUGUACCUGACUCUCACUCUCUCUGCGUGUGUGUGCGUGUGUUCUCGUCCUCUUUCCCGAAGAGGUGUUGGCUGACUAAUGAUGGAUGGCGAAUACGGAUGCACGGUGAUGCGUUUCUCACAUACCAGUUGUGUGCAGGCAUACGUGCGUAGAGGCGUCGUACAAACACUUCGGUGUAAUCGUAUCGAGGAGAGGCGCACGGAGGGGCAAGGCGUUGAGGAAGCCGCCACUGCUGCUGAGGUGCUUAAACCUCAUCAGGCGGAGGGAGACGGGCGGUAACGGAGUCUUCCGAGGCACUCGCCCUAGCUCGCAUCUCUGCGGCCGUCGCUGCGCCUUCUACACCACACGCCCUUGCCCUCGACCUCACCCUGCUUCUCUGGCCCACGCUCUUUCUCGGAUUUGACGCCAAUGACUCGAUGCACGCGUCGGGGAAGGGGCUGAUGCAGAGGGGUGCUCGUUGGGGCGAGGCACCCUUUCCCCCAUCGGACGCUUCCCUUGCCUAUCGCGUUAUCCUCGUCUCCUCCCCACCUCCUCCCUCUUCUGUUCGCUUCCUCUCGCUCGCUCUGUUCUAUCGCCGUCUUUUCGUUGCCGAUGCGCCUAUGCAACACCCCAUCUCUACCCCUGCGUAUCCGUUCCCCGUGCGGGCGCGCACAUACACAAACCGCCGCCACCAACAUUCUCUGCUCGUUCCUCGCUCACUCCUUCUCGGGUGUGCGCAUCCAUCGUACAG
rnacentral:misc_RNA from 1 species